CCCUUACGGCCAGGGCUACACACGUGCUACAAUGGCGGUGACAACGGGAUGCGAAGGCGCGAGCCGGAGCCAAUCCCCAAAAACCGUCUCAGUUCGGAUCGUACUCUGCAACUCGAGUGCGUGAAGGUGGAAUCGCUAGUAAUCGCGCAUCAGCCAUGGCGCGGUGAAUACGUUCCCGGACCUUGUACACACCGCCCGUCAAGCCACGAAAGCCGGGGGCGCCCGAAGUCGUUUGCCUAACCGUAAGGAGGGCGGCGCCGAAGGCGAAACCGGUGAUUGGGACUAAGUCGUAACAAGGUAGCCGUAGGGGAACCUGCGGCUGGAUCACCUCCUU
rnacentral:rRNA from 1 species